GACGAACGCGGCGGCGUGCUAAUACAUGCAAGUAGAACGCACAGGAUGCACCGUAGUUUACUACACCGUAUUCUGUGAGUUGCGAACGGGUGAGUAACGCGUAGGUAACCUGCCUGGUAGCGGGGGAUAACUAUUGGAAACGAUAGCUAAUACCGUAUAAGAACAUUUACUGCAUGGUAGAUGUUUAAAAGGUGCAAGAGCAUCACUACCAGAUGGACCUGCGUUGUAUUAGCUAGUUGGUGAGGUAACGGCUCACCAAGGCAACGAUACAUAGCCGACCUGAGAGGGUGAUCGGCCACACUGGGACUGAGACACGGCCCAGACUCCUACGGGAGGCAGCAGUAGAGAAUCUUCGGCAAUGGGGGGAACCCUGACCGAGCAACGCCGCGUGAGUGAAGAAGGUUUUCGGAUCGUAAAGCUCUGUUGUUAAGGAAGAACGUGUGUGAGAGUGGAAAGUUCACACAGUGACGGUACUUAACCAGAAAGGGACGGCUAACUACGUGCCAGCAGCCGCGGUAAUACGUAGGUCCCGAGCGUUGUCCGGAUUUAUUGGGCGUAAAGCGAGCGCAGGCGGUUAGAUAAGUCUGAAGUGAAAGGCAGUGGCUCAACCAUUGUAGGCUUUGGAAACUGUUUAACUUGAGUGCAGAAGGGGAGAGUGGAAUUCCAUGUGUAGCGGUGAAAUGCGUAGAUAUAUGGAGGAACACCGGUGGCGAAAGCGGCUCUCUGGUCUGUAACUGACGCUGAGGCUCGAAAGCGUGGGGAGCGAACAGG
rnacentral:rRNA from 1 species